UUGCUAGUGAAGAUGAAGAAAGCAGUAACGAAUUGGAAGGUGAUUAUCAGGGAACUCUUCAAAACGAUCCUGAAUGGACUUUUGACACUAUCAAAGCUGCACUUCCUCAAGAAAACUUCGAUACAAUCCGGCCCAUUAAAGCUUCCGACAAAAAAUAUACAUCGCCUUCCUUAUUAGCUGAUACGCUCCGCCAAAGCCGACCCUUCCAUCCCUGUGUCAACUUUUUAAUUGGCUUUUUGGAAAAGACUAAAACUGAGGAAAGUAAUAAUGAAAGAGUUUGCAACGCUAUUGAUCAGUUGCUUGAAAGUCUU